UCCGGUUGAUCCUGCCAGAGGCCGCUGCUAUCCGGCUGGGACUAAGCCAUGCUAGUCUAGGGGCUUGUACUCCUUCGGGGGUGCAAGCACCGGCGGACGGCUCAGUAACACGUGGACAACCUGCCCUCGGGUGGGGGAUAACCCCGGGAAACUGGGGCUAAUCCCCCAUAGGUGAUGGGUGCUGGAAUGCCCCAUCUCCGAAAGCGCUUAGCGCCCGAGGAUGGGUCUGCGGCGGAUUAGGUAGUUGGUGGGGUAACGGCCCACCAAGCCUAAGAUCCGUACGGGCUGUGGGAGCAGGAGCCCGGAGAUGGACCCUGAGACAAGGGUCCAGGCCCUACGGGGCGCAGCAGGCGCGAAACCUCCGCAAUGCGGGAAACCGCGACGGGGUUAGCCGGAGUGCCCGUGCAUUGCACGGGCUGUCGGGGUGCCUAAACAGCACCCCAUAGCAAGGGCCGGGCAAGGCCGGUGGCAGCCGCCGCGGUAAGACCGGCGGCCCGAGUGGCGGCCACUCUUAUUGGGCCUAAAGCGUCCGUAGCCGGCCC
rnacentral:rRNA from 1 species